rnacentral:rRNA from 1 species
UACAGAGGUCUCAAGCGUUGUUCGGAUUCAUUGGGCGUAAAGGGUGCGUAGGUGGCGUCGUAAGUCAGGUGUGAAAUCUCGGGGCUCAACCCCGAAACUGCACUUGAUACUGCGAUGCUCGAGUACUGGAGAGGAGAUUGGAAUUUACGGUGUAGCAGUGAAAUGCGUAGAUAUCGUAAGGAAGACCAGUGGCGAAGGCGGGUCUCUGGACAGUUCCUGACGCUGAGACGCGAAAGCGUGGGGAGCAAACAGG